rnacentral:tRNA from 1 species
GGUAAAAUGGCUGAGUAAGCAUUAGACUGUAAUCUAAACACAGAGGGUAAUUCUCUUUUUGCCA